rnacentral:misc_RNA from 5 species
AACGCACAUUGCGCCCGCUGGUAUUCCGGCGGGCAUGCCUGUUCGAGCGUCAUUAUGACCAAUCAAGCUCUGCUUGGCCUUGGGGCCCGCUGUACCGGCGGCCCUUAAAAUCAGUGGCGGUGCCGUCUGGCUCUAAGCGUAGUAAUACUUCUCGCUACAGGGUCCAGCCGUCCACCCGCCAGAACCCCCAACUUUCUUAGGUUGACCUCGGAUCAGGUAGGGAUACCCGCUGAACUUAA